GGAAGUAGCUCAGUGGUAGAGUGCUUGCCUGGCAUGUGCAAGGCUCUGGGUUCAAUCCCCAGCACUG
rnacentral:tRNA from 1 species